rnacentral:rRNA from 1 species
GACGAACGCUGGCGGCGUGCCUAAUACAUGCAAGUAGAACGCUGAAGAGAGGAGCUUGCUCUUCUUGGAUGAGUUGCGAACGGGUGAGUAACGCGUAGGUAACCUGCCUUGUAGCGGGGGAUAACUAUUGGAAACGAUAGCUAAUACCGCAUAACAAUGGAUGACACAUGUCAUUUAUUUGAAAGGGGCAAUUGCUCCACUACAAGAUGGACCUGCGUUGUAUUAGCUAGUAGGUGAGGUAAUGGCUCACCUAGGCGACGAUACAUAGCCGACCUGAGAGGGUGAUCGGCCACACUGGGACUGAGGCACGGCCCAGACUCCUACGGGAGGCAGCAGGAGGGAAUCUUCGGCAAUGGGGGCAACCCUGACCGAGCAACGCCGCGUGAGUGAAGAAGGGUUUCGGAUCGUAAAGCUCUGUUGUAAGUCAAGAACGGGUGUGAGAGUGGAAAGUUCACACUGUGACGGUAGCUUACCAGAAAGGGACGGCUAACUACGUG